GCGGCAGGUGUCGAGAUGCAGCCGGAGACCUACGCUGCGUGGUGGCACUGCUUCCGUCGGCGCUGGCCGCGCACUUCCUGGUGGCCACCACGGAGCUCCAACUUGGCGUUCACGAGUUUGAACUGCGCAAGGACGGGGCGGCUCGCUGGACUAGCCAUGCCAUGUCUACUACCAAUGGCGCCCGAGCCGGCUGUCAACGAAGAGAUGGUGUCCUGAGAGAUACAUACUAGUCUUCCAGGACAGAAUGGUAUUUUUGUGUCCCUAGAUUUUGUUGUGGUGGUGAUAGGCUAUGAGUUUCGAGAAGAAAAUAAAUGAUUUGUGGCUGGAUUGAUCAGGCUAUGUGCGCUGAAUCUGUAGUGGGGAAAGGGAUUUUUAGAGUUUGUGGUCAUCUUCGUUGAACAACAUCAGCUAAUUAAACUGAAAAGGGAUAUGGAGUAAUCAAAGCUGCUUUUCAUUUAGACAGAAUGAUUCAGAACUAAACAUGUACUGUAUGAUACAUUUUUUCUUAAA